GCCGGGCCUGGUGGUGCGCCUGUAGUCCCAGCUACUUGGGAGGCUGAGGCAGGAGAAUCACUUGAACCCAGGAGGUGGAGGCUGCAGUGAGCCGAGAUCACGCCACUGCACUCCAUCCUGGGUGACAGAGUGAGACCCUGUCUCAA
rnacentral:SRP_RNA from 2 species